CCUACGGGAGGCUGCAGUGAGGAAUAUUGGUCAAUGGGCGCGAGUCUGAACCAGCCAAGUAGCGUGCAGGAAGACUGCCCUACGGGUUGUAAACUUCUUUUAUAAAGGAAUAAAGUGAGGUACGUGUGCCUUUUUGUAUGUACUUUAUGAAUAAGGAUCGGCUAACUCCGUGCCAGCAGCCGCGGUAAUACGGAGGAUCCGAGCGUUAUCCGGAUUUAUUGGGUUUAAAGGGAGCGUAGAUGGGUUGUUAAGUCAGUUGUGAAAGGUUGCGGCUCAACCGGAAAAUUGCAAUUGAUACUGGCAGUCUAGAGUACAGUUGAGGUAGGCGGAAUGCGUGGUGUAGCGGUGAAAUGCUUAGAGAUCAUGAAGAACUCCGAUUGCGAAGGCAGCUUACUAAACUGCCACUGACAUUGAGGCUCGAAAGUGUGGGGAUCAAACAGGAUUAGAUACCCGUGUAGUC
rnacentral:rRNA from 1 species